ensembl:misc_RNA Metazoa_SRP Metazoan signal recognition particle RNA
GCCUUCCGGAAGCUUCUCAGUUUCAGGAGUCCCAGCUACUCAGGAGGCUGAGACAGGAGGAGCGCUUGAGUCCAGGAGAUCUGGGCUGUAGUGUGCUAUGCUGAUUGGGUGUCCACACUAAGUUCGGCAUCAAUAUGGUGACCUCCAGGGAGUGGGGGGCCACCAGGUUGCCUAAGGAUGGGUGAACCGGCCCAGGUCGGAAACGGAGCAGGUCAAAACUCCCGUGAUGUUCUAGUUUAUAUGUUAAAGUCUCUUGUUCAUAUAGAUUUAAGAUAAUCCCUUUUCC